rnacentral:lncRNA from 1 species
GGGUGAGCAUCCCUGCUACAAAAGACAGAGUAAGUUUGGUCGGAGUGGCUUGGAGAUUCAGUGGUUGGCUGCCUACCAGCUGGUGAAGAUAUCCAUCAUGACAUUGUGCGUGAGGAUCUGUGUGAGAGAGUGAGGCGCUCUGUGAUUCUGUGACCCUCUUCAUGCAUGAUAAUACAUCCACACAUGAUGGGCACGGAAUUGAGGAAGUAGGCAACCAGGGAAGCCUGCAGCCUAGGGCAUCACUGGCAAUUUCCCCAAUGGAGUAUUUAACCACAAAGGGAAGAGCAAUUAAAGCUAAUCGCUCUGACAGCCUGGGGCCCAGACACACGUACCACUUUCCCUAACUCCCAGUGGUCUCCCCCAACCUUCAUCCUCCCUAAUUUGUUUAGUGCACUCUCAAACACUGUUUGCACUUCUCUGACCAUCUCUUUCUCUCACUUCCUCCCUCUCCCUGGUUCCCUGACUAUCUCUAGACCUCUCUGGAGAUGUCUGUCUGCUUCUCACACACAUUCCUCUCAUUCUCUCUCUGACUUGGGUUCCAUUCUUGGCUGACUCAUACCCAUUCUUUUUCCUCUCCGUUUCUUCCACCCCCUCCUCCUCCAUCCCUUGGCCACUCUUACCCAGAAACUAGCCACUCCCAGCACGCUAAGCCCUAACUGGACCCAGGAAGAGAAGCCACCAGAAGCCCCUACCCUCAUUAGUCCGCAAAAUCCUGUCUCCUUGUGUUAGAGGAAUGAGACCAAGAUUUUCUCCCAUCUUUCCCCACAGUUUUAAAGAGGAACAAUCUGAAACCAUGGGGCUGGGAAAAGCUGCCAGAAAAUCAGGAUGGAUUUGGGGACAGUGGCCCUUUCUGUCCACUCAGCUGUCCUGUCGGACUGAUGACUUGGAGCCCGCAGUUCAGAAGACUCCUCAUGGGAUGCCCCACCCCACAGAGUGGGGGUGUGGUGGGCGGCCGGAUGCGUAGUCCAGGGACGUUUGUGAUUUGGAGUGUGCUAGACUAUGUGUAUAAGUCACAUGGGUGUGUGUCACUGUGUGUGCUGGCGUGCCUUAUAGGUGUGCGUGUUUCCCUGUCAGUUUUGACACGGAUUAUAUGAAAUUAAUAAGGGUUUUUACGUUAGAUAUACAUCACUUCUCUACACCCCCAGCUCCUCCUUCCCUCUGGACAAGCUUUCCGCCAAGCCCACCUCUUCCCCAGGUGCAGUGAGCUGGGGGUGAGGGCACAUGGUACCAGCCGCCCGCGGAACCGAGACAGGGCUGGGCCGGGAGACCGCCAGCGGAGGCGAGUCCGAAGCCUGAGCGGGGAGGGAGGGGCGGGCGCUGGCCUGGCCGAGCCGGCUGGGCGGGAAGCAGGCUGCAUCCUAAUCCACAGGCCCCGGUCCGACUCCCAAACUGCCGUUCAGCGUGGAACGGGCUGGCCGGAGCCACGCCGCCUCCAGCACACGCUCGGCGCUCGGGACGCACCGACCGAGGGACGGACCCCGUGAGGCCUGACACAAAGUGGACUCGUCCGGGGUCCCCACACUCCCCGUCUGGCCCCCGGUGUCCCAGAUCGUUGCCCCUCCAAGCCUAGACCCCGAAAUCUGCCCCUUCCCCGCGACAUGUCUCCUCUCCGCCCCUCUCACCGCCUCUGGAGCUGAGCGCUCAGGGCGCGGGCACUCCUGAGUCCCCGGUUCCUAAGCAGCGUCCGGAACCUCCUCCUCGGCUCCCGCCGCCGCCGCCGCCGCUUCUGCCGCCGCCGCCGCCUCUUCCGCCCGCGGAGCCGGAGCCCGAGCCCAGCGCCGCUCACUCCACCCGGCUGGCCGGUGAUGAAACAUUUACUAGGGACAACUUUUGAGUGUCAGACCCUGUGGACACAAAGAAAAAGCUUGGGUUCCUGCCUUCAAGGGGCUCACAGUUGAGUGGGGAAGACAGACACGUAAAUGAAGAACAAUAACAGACUGUGCUGAGUACUGGAAUGGAAGUGCAGCAGGAACUCAGAAGAGGUCAUCACUGGAGGGGCCACCUCUGGGAAGGCUUCACCAAGGAAGUAUAAUUGGAGCUCUGUCUUGAUGUUCAAAUAAGAGCUGCAGAGAGGGUGCUAUCGAGCAGCACAUAAUCACUUAAUUACAUAUUGCUUUGUAUUCU